rnacentral:rRNA from 1 species
AGUGAACGCUGGCGGUAGGCCUAACACAUGCAAGUCGAACGGCAGCACAGUAAGAGCUUGCUCUUACGGGUGGCGAGUGGCGGACGGGUGAGGAAUACAUCGGACUCUACUUUUUCGUGGGGGUUAAGGAAGGGAAACUUACUCUAAUACCGCAUACGCCCUACGGUUGAAAGCAGUGGAUCUUCGGACCUUGCGCGGUUGAAUGAGCCGAUGUCGGAUUAGUUAGUUGGCGGGGUAAAGGCCCACCAAGUCGACGAUCCGUAGCUGGUCUGAGAGGAUGAUAGGCCACACUGGAACUGGGACACGGUCCAGACUACUACGGGAGGCAGCAGUGGGGAAUAUUGGACAAUGGGCGCAAGCAUGAUCCAGCCAUACCGCGUGGGUGGAGAAGGCCUUCGGGUUGUAAAGACCUUUUGUUGGGAAAGAAAAGCAGCAGGUUAAGACCCCGCUGUUCUGACGGUAACCAAAGAAUAAGCACCGGCUAACUUCGUG